rnacentral:rRNA from 1 species
UACAGAGGGGGCAAGCGUUAUUCGGAAUUAUUGGGCGUAAAGAGCGCGUAGGCGGCUAGAUAAGUCCGGUGUGAAAGUCACAGGCUCAACCUGUGAAUGCCGCUGGAAACUGUCUGGCUAGAGUCCGGAAGGGGCGAGUGGAAUUCCUGGUGUAGCGGUGAAAUGCGCAGAUAUCAGGAGGAACACCAAUGGCGAAGGCAGCUCGCUGGGACGGUACUGACGCUGAGGCGCGAAAGCGUGGGGAGCAAACAGG